rnacentral:tRNA from 1 species
GAGCGCGCGGGAUGCGUGCGUGCCGCCGAACGUCUUCGCGCGGCGGGCAUCGCGUGCAGGACGGUGAGUGUCGGUUCGACGCCGACCGCGCUCGC